AUUCCAGCUCCAAUAGCGUAUAUUAAAGUUGUUGCAGUUAAAAAGCUCGUAGUUGAACUUCAGACCUGGCCGGGCGGUCCGCCUAACGGUGUGUACUGUCUGGCUGGGUCUUACCUCUUGGUGAGCCGGCAUGCCCUUCACUGGGUGUGUCGGGGAACCAGGACUUUUACCUUGAGAAAAUUAGAGUGUUCAAAGCAGGCUUAUGCCCGAAUACAUUAGCGUGGAAUAAUAGAAUAGGACGUGCGGUUCUAUUUUGUUGGUUUCUAGAGUCGCCGUAAUGAUUAAUAGGGAUAGUUGGGGGCAUUAGUAUUCAGUUGCUAGAGGUGAAAUUCUUGGAUUUACUGAAGACUAACUACUGCGAGAGCAUUUGCCAAGGAUGUUUUCAUUA
rnacentral:rRNA from 1 species